UCAGAAGGCACACCCGGAGAACUGAAACAUCUUAGUACCCGGAGGAAGAGAAAGAAAAUUCGAUUCCCUUAGUAGCGGCGAGCGAAACGGGAAGAGCCCAAACCAAAAAGCUUGCUUGUUGGGGUUGUAGGACACUCUAUACGGAGUUACAAAGGACGACAUUAGACGAAUCAUCUGGAAAGAUGAAUCAAAGAAGGUAAUAAUCCUGUAGUCGAAAAUGUUGUCUCUCUUGAGUGGAUCCUGAGUACGACGGAGCACGUGAAAUUCCGUCGGAAUCUGGGAGGACCAUCUCCUAAGGCUAAAUACUCUCUAGUGACCGAUAGUGAACCAGUACCGUGAGGGAAAGGUGAAAAGCACCCCGGAAGGAGAGUGAAAUAGAACCUGAAACCGUGUGCUUACAAGUAGUCAGAGCCCGUUAAUGGGUGAUGGCGUGCCUUUUGUAGAAUGAACCGGCGAGUUACGAUUUGAUGCAAGGUUAAGCAGUAAAUGUGGAGCCGUAGCGAAAGCGAGUCUGAAUAGGGCGUUUAGUAUUUGGUCGUAGACCCGAAACCAGGUGAUCUACCCUUGGUCAGGUUGAAGUUCAGGUAACACUGAAUGGAGGACCGAACCGACUUACGUUGAAAAGUGAGCGGAUGAACUGAGGGUAGCGGAGAAAUUCCAAUCGAACCUGGAGAUAGCUGGUUCUCUCCGAAAUAGCUUUAGGGCUAGCCUCAAGUGAUGAUUAUUGGAGGUAGAGCACUGUUUGGACGAGGGGCCCCUCUCGGGUUACCGAAUUCAGACAAACUCCGAAUGCCAAUUAAUUUAACUUGGGAGUCAGAACAUGGGUGAUAAGGUCCGUGUUCGAAAGGGAAACAGCCCAGACCACCAGCUAAGGUCCCAAAAUAUAUGUUAAGUGGAAAAGGAUGUGGCGUUGCCCAGACAACUAGGAUGUUGGCUUAGAAGCAGCCAUCAUUUAAAGAGUGCGUAAUAGCUCACUAGUCGAGUGACACUGCGCCGAAAAUGUACCGGGGCUAAACAUAUUACCGAAGCUGUGGAUUGUCCUUUGGACAAUGGUAGGAGAGCGUUCUAAGGGCGUUGAAGCAUGAUCGUAAGGACAUGUGGAGCGCUUAGAAGUGAGAAUGCCGGUGUGAGUAGCGAAAGACGGGUGAGAAUCCCGUCCACCGAUUGACUAAGGUUUCCAGAGGAAGGCUCGUCCGCUCUGGGUUAGUCGGGUCCUAAGCUGAGGCCGACAGGCGUAGGCGAUGGAUAACAGGUUGAUAUUCCUGUACCACCUAUAAUCGUUUUAAUCGAUGGGGGGACGCAGUAGGAUAGGCGAAGCGUGCGAUUGGAUUGCACGUCUAAGCAGUAAGGCUGAGUAUUAGGCAAAUCCGGUACUCGUUAAGGCUGAGCUGUGAUGGGGAGAAGACAUUGAGUCUUCGAGUCGUUGAUUUCACACUGCCGAGAAAAGCCUCUAGAUAGAAAAUAGGUGCCCGUACCGCAAACCGACACAGGUAGUCAAGAUGAGAAUUCUAAGGUGAGCGAGCGAACUCUCGUUAAGGAACUCGGCAAAAUGACCCCGUAACUUCGGGAGAAGGGGUGCUCUUUAGGGUUAACGCCCAGAAGAGCCGCAGUGAAUAGGCCCAAGCGACUGUUUAUCAAAAACACAGGUCUCUGCUAAACCGUAAGGUGAUGUAUAGGGGCUGACGCCUGCCCGGUGCUGGAAGGUUAAGAGGAGUGGUUAGCUUCUGCGAAGCUACGAAUCGAAGCCCCAGUAAACGGCGGCCGUAACUAUAACGGUCCUAAGGUAGCGAAAUUCCUUGUCGGGUAAGUUCCGACCCGCACGAAAGGCGUAACGAUUUGGGCACUGUCUCAACGAGAGACUCGGUGAAAUCAUAGUACCUGUGAAGAUGCAGGUUACCCGCGACAGGACGGAAAGACCCCGUGGAGCUUUACUGUAGCCUGAUAUUGAAAUUCGGCACAGCUUGUACAGGAUAGGUAGGAGCCUUUGAAACGUGAGCGCUAGCUUACGUGGAGGCGCUGGUGGGAUACUACCCUAGCUGUGUUGGCUUUCUAACCCGCACCACUUAUCGUGGUGGGAGACAGUGUCAGGCGGGCAGUUUGACUGGGGCGGUCGCCUCCUAAAAGGUAACGGAGGCGCUCAAAGGUUCCCUCAGAAUGGUUGGAAAUCAUUCAUAGAGUGUAAAGGCAUAAGGGAGCUUGACUGCGAGACCUACAAGUCGAGCAGGGUCGAAAGACGGACUUAGUGAUCCGGUGGUUCCGCAUGGAAGGGCCAUCGCUCAACGGAUAAAAGCUACCCCGGGGAUAACAGGCUUAUCUCCCCCAAGAGUUCACAUCGACGGGGAGGUUUGGCACCUCGAUGUCGGCUCAUCGCAUCCUGGGGCUGUAGUCGGUCCCAAGGGUUGGGCUGUUCGCCCAUUAAAGCGGUACGCGAGCUGGGUUCAGAACGUCGUGAGACAGUUCGGUCCCUAUCCGUCGUGGGCGUAGGAAAUUUGAGAGGAGCUGUCCUUAGUACGAGAGGACCGGGAUGGACAUACCUCUGGUGUACCAGUUGUCGUGCCAACGGCAUAGCUGGGUAGCUAUGUGUGGACGGGAUAAGUGCUGAAAGCAUCUAAGCAUGAAGCCCCCCUCAAGAUGAGAUUUCCCAACUUCGGUUAUAAGAUCCCUCAAAGAUGAUGAGGUUAAUAGGUUCGAGGUGGAAGCAUGGUGACAUGUGGAGCUGACGAAUACUAAUCGAUCGAAGACUUAAUCAA
rnacentral:rRNA from 1 species